GAUGAACGCUGGCGGCGUGCUUAACACAUGCAAGUCGAACGGUGAAGCCAAGCUUGCUUGGUGGAUCAGUGGCGAACGGGUGAGUAACACGUGAGCAACCUGCCCUGGACUCUGGGAUAAGCGCUGGAAACGGCGUCUAAUACUGGAUAUGAGACGUGAUCGCAUGGUCAACGUUUGGAAAGAUUUUUCGGUCUGGGAUGGGCUCGCGGCCUAUCAGCUUGUUGGUGAGGUAAUGGCUCACCAAGGCGUCGACGGGUAGCCGGCCUGAGAGGGUGACCGGCCACACUGGGACUGAGACACGGCCCAGACUCCUACGGGAGGCAGCAGUGGGGAAUAUUGCACAAUGGGCGGAAGCCUGAUGCAGCAACGCCGCGUGAGGGAUGACGGCCUUCGGGUUGUAAACCUCUUUUAGCAGGGAAGAAGCGAAAGUGACGGUACCUGCAGAAAAAGCGCCGGCUAACUACGUGCCAGCAGCCGCGGUAAUACGUAGGGCGCAAGCGUUAUCCGGAAUUAUUGGGCGUAAAGAGCUCGUANGCGGUUUGUCGCGUCUGCUGUGAAAUCCCGAGGCUCAACCUCGGGCCUGCAGUGGGUACGGGCAGACUAGAGUGCGGUAGGGGAGAUUGGAAUUCCUGGUGUAGCGGUGGAAUGCGCAGAUAUCAGGAGGAACACCGAUGGCGAAGGCAGAUCUCUGGGCCGUAACUGACGCUGAGGAGCGAAAGGGUGGGGAGCAAACAGGCUUAGAUACCCUGGUAGUCCACCCCGUAAACGUUGGGAACUAGUUGUGGGGACCAUUCCACGGUUUCCGUGACGCAGCUAACGCAUUAAGUUCCCCGCCUGGGGAGUACGGCCGCAAGGCUAAAACUCAAAGGAAUUGACGGGGACCCGCACAAGCGGCGGAGCAUGCGGAUUAAUUCGAUGCAACGCGAAGAACCUUACCAAGGCUUGACAUACACCAGAACGGGCCAGAAAUGGUCAACUCUUUGGACACUGGUGAACAGGUGGUGCAUGGUUGUCGUCAGCUCGUGUCGUGAGAUGUUGGGUUAAGUCCCGCAACGAGCGCAACCCUCGUUCUAUGUUGCCAGCACGUAAUGGUGGGAACU
rnacentral:rRNA from 1 species